rnacentral:lncRNA from 1 species
UACCUUCUGUGCUCUUCCGGAACUGAGCCUUUAAUCUCCCAUAUAGCAUUUGCUGUGUUAUAUGAUUUAAAUUUCGGUACAAUUUCAUUACAAUUAUUUAUUCACUUUGUAAAUUAAUUACAGUAGCAUAUGAAAAUCAAAUCAAACACUGUGGUAUCAAUUGAUCAUCCCCUACGGCCGGGGCUUCUUCUCGGAGCAGUUGCCGGCGUUGUUGAACGGCUGCGGGCAGGGCCCGCC